UGCUCUCCAUCUUAUCCCCACAAGAACAACCCUGUGUGGUAGGUUUGGUGGAGAGUCUGACUGGCCCAAAGUCACCGGUUGGCUCCACGGCUCAGCGGGGGCUUGAACCCAGGUCACCUGAGUCCCAGUCCUGCGCUCCUAGCCACUGCACCACACUGGCUCUCACUCGCACCAUACGAGUUGUGCGUGUGUGAGCUGGAUUGGAGCCAUGGGGUGUCAGAUGGGGACUUCCAUGGUUUGGCUACAUUGCCAUUUUUUCCUCACUCUUUUCCUUCCUCUGUUGCCCACCUCCUUUGCGCAUUGCAGUAUUAGCACAUAGAAUGUCAGGAUGUUUUGUGUGUUGUGCUGUAGCUGUGGGCCAGUGCCACUAUAGCAGAACAGCUCAUAGUCCUGGGAUCACACAUCCUGACAACCCAGAGUUCACAACCCAAUGAGAAACCACCGGUUCUCUUUCUGGGUUGUCCGUGGUUCACAAACAAUGGUUUGUUAGCAUGGCUGGGUUCACCUGUCAUGACAACUCAGAAUUCAACAGUCCAUAAGUGUCUGUGAAUCCAGCCAGUGUUUGAGUGCAGUGUGUCUUUGUAUUGGAUACACUGCAAAUUAUCUAUAAAUUACCCCUUGAUGUCAGUGAAAUUAGGAUCCAGCUAGAUAUAUCUUAAAAUAUUGAACCCCCCACUCUUUUUGAAACAGAAAAACUCAUGGUAUCCUUUUUUGUUUCUCCUGCAUGCAGAAAAGCAUCUGGUGGCCAUGGCUCUGUGACGCCGGGAGCCUGGAUCUGUCAGCUGGAAGAAUGGAACUUGCAGACAACUGUCCGCACAGUUACUUGAGAGCAGUGCCAAAUGGAUAUGGAAACCAAGUUUUUCAAGCAAAUCUGAAAGAAAGGUGUACUGAUGUUAAUUAUUCCCAUUCUGGUGGGCUCAGUGGUGAUGAAAAGGAAGAUGCAGCCAAGCAGAAGAAGAAGGCCAGGGGAAGUCGGAUCUGGAAUUUUGUUAGCCGUAGGAAAGGAUCUGCCAUGAAUACCAAAAGACCCCAGUCCAUGAUCCUUUUUAGUAAUAAUAUGGAGAUUCUGGAGCAAAAUCGUAAGAUGUCCUUCAUGGAAAAGGUAAGGUCCUUUAAGAAGCUGAGGACAUCUGGCGUGUCCAAGAAUACAUCCAAAGCCAAGGCGGUCAUUAUCGCUGUAGAAACACAGGAAGAUCUUGGAGAGAAAUCGCUCCAUAGCAUUAAGAAGCUCAGUGACAGUCAACGGCCUUACCGACACUCCUACGCUGGCUACAUCGAGGAUCUGGAUUCUUCUUUUGAAGAUGUUGAGUUGAACAGUUGUGUGCUAGAUCUCAACACCAGUGAGAGUCAGUGGCACAGGACUGUUGCCAUUGGAAUAAACCAUGACAACCUUGAUCAUGAGUGUCCCAGAACAUCAACUGGGGGAAGCCUGGCUCCUGAAUUUGAAAGUACUCAGGAAUUUGAUACUGUACAAGGGGACCCUUCAAGGAGGUGUCCCGUGGUUAUUCAUGAGAGUAAGAAAAGAACCUCAGAAGUCUGGAGUUACCUGAAAGGGAUUUCAUUGACCGGGAAGGAUUGUUCAAAGCUGGCCGAUGAAAGAGUGGAACCCAAUGCUGAGGAUGUAGAAAACCCAGUGGAUAAUCACCCUGCUUAUUUUGAUUGUAAUGUGAAAGACAAGGAAAGCGUUGGCCGGCCAAAAAGGGUGAGCCAUGCGGCUAAGGGCAGUCUCUUUGGUGGGGUUCUUAGAUUCUUCAGCAGCGUGGCUGAGGCAGCUCAGAAAUGGCGGGGAACUUCAAAAGCGUGUUCACAGGAGGAACAAAGACCGAACUUUCCAUGCCGAAGGCAAGAGCUUCCUCAUCAUCGGCAGCCUUUAAGUACUGGUGAUGACAAUGUGUGUUUCUCUACCACACAUUUGUCUCCAGAUUCUAGGAACUUGGAUGGUCCUAGCUCAAAACACUCCACCAGUAAAGAACUGUCCCAAGGGAGUACAAAUGCUGAGAUUUCCCAUGAAGUCUUCAGACAGGAUAUCAGUUGCAAAGAAACAUCUUUCCCACCCUCUGGCACAAAUUUGACACCUUCCCCCCUCUCAGAACUUCCUAAUGAUUGUAGCUUUCCCAAUGUUCAUGGUCUCGCCAUGGAUUUGUCGCAGAGUCGGGAUCCAUUUUUUAAUCUAGUAGACAAUCAGGGCUUAAGUAUUGCUGCAACGGACACUUUGGCAUUAUCUUCUUGGGGCCAGGGGAAUAGUCAGAGCUCUGGUAAUACACCAGCAGAUCCGCAGAAUUUGGAUGUUAGUGACUUACGGCCUCCGGAUCCCACCAAGAUUAAGAUGGAUGUUACUGGGGUGGAAAGUGCUUCUUCUCCGAACUUUGAAGAGUGGUGUGAUGGAGAAUUGGAUAUGUGUAACACUGAGCAAGGUACCUUGGAUCUAAGCACUUCUUCAGAUGAUAUUAUCAUGGUACCACGUAGUGUAGCUGAAGCUCAAGAUUUGGCCAGUAGUCCAGAAAAUGCCAGGACUUUUAGUAGAACUACCACAGAUAGGGAGCCCCUGGGCAGAAAUUCCCGGGUCACCCCAGACCUUGAGCUGACAUCAGGUUCAGGGACUGGAUUGAAUGAUGACCGGAUCCCAGAGGGAAUGGCAGGAGUUAUGGAGAACCUGGACCAUAUGCAAGCUGAUGGUCAGGAUCUAGCAAGAACUCCAUCAGAUGCCCAUGAUUUAGAAAGUUCUCCUGCAGAACCUCAGAACUUUAGGACUGCUCUGUCAGAGAGUCGGGGCUUGGGCAGCAUUUUAGAAGAUGAUGUUCAUGGGACCUGCACGUCAGCCACUCUAAGCUGCUCAAGACAUGACCGAGCCCAAGCUCAAGAGUGUUCUUCCGUCAAAGUGAAUGGAAAUGCCUUGCCGUUGCGACCAAACCCUGUGUGGAAGCCCCGCAAGGCAGAACAUUUCAAGUACAGAGGAAUCAGUCACCCGAUCCAGAUGAGUCUCUGUACAAUCGUAUCCUUCGAUGAAUUCAACAGUGGAAAGCCUCUGUCUCAUCCUCUUCAUCCAUCGCCAGGAUCCCCUCCCUACAAGCUCCUCUUGGACAGAUGCCAGUCCUUACCGCUUUCCCAGAGCACCCCAAUGGGGCUGGAUCAACUGGGAUGGAAGAGGAAAGUGUUACUGAGUGCUGCGGCUGACAGUGACCUGGGUUCAAAAACACUGGAGGUGCGGCGUGAUAGGAAGAAUGGCAGGAAUAGAUGGAAACCUCUCAAGCCGGGAGCCGAGCAGCUGUUACUCAAUAAACUGAUCAGUGGCGGUUCUAUUGUAAGCGCUGAGGCAGUAUGGGAUCACGUCACCAUGGCCAACCGGGAGUUGGCGUUUAAAGCAGGAGACGUCAUCAAGGUUCUGGAUGCCUCCAACAAGGACUGGUGGUGGGGACAGAUUGACGAUGAAGAAGGAUGGUUUCCCGCCAGCUUUGUAAGGCUAUGGGUCAACCAAGAAGAUGGAGGGGAGGAAGGAACGAGUGAAGUACAGAAUGGACACUUGGAUCCAAAUGCUGCCGACUGCCUCUGCCUCGGCAGAACUCUGCAGAACCGAGACCAGAUGAGAGCCAAUGUGAUUAAUGAGAUAAUGAGUACGGAGCGUCACUAUAUCAAGCAUCUGAAGGACAUUUGUGAGGGUUACUUAAAACAGUGUCGAAAGAGAAGAGACAUGUUCAGUGAUGAGCAGAUGAAGAUCAUCUUUGGCAACAUUGAGGACAUCUACAGGUUUCAGAUGGGCUUUGUACGGGACUUGGAGAAGCAGUACAACAAAGAGGAUCCCCACCUCAGUGAAAUUGGGCCGUGUUUUCUGGAGCAUCAAGAUGGCUUCUGGAUCUAUUCAGAAUACUGUAACAAUCACCUGGAUGCAUGCAUGGAGCUCUCUAAGCUAAUGAAAGAUGGCAGGUACCAGCACUUCUUUGAAGCAUGUCGUCUCUUGCAGCAGAUGAUUGAUAUUGCUAUUGAUGGCUUCCUUCUGACACCUGUGCAGAAGAUCUGCAAAUACCCCUUGCAGCUGGCAGAACUGCUGAAGUACACUGCACAGGAACACAGUGAUUACAGGUACGUGGCUGCAGCCCUUGCAGUUAUGCGGAAUGUGACUCAGCAGAUCAAUGAGAGGAAAAGGAGACUGGAAAACAUUGACAAGAUUGCUCAGUGGCAAGCAUCAGUUCUGGACUGGGAGGGGGAGGAUAUCUUGGACCGCAGCUCUGAGUUGAUCUACACAGGAGAGAUGUCCUGGAUUUAUCAGCCUUACGGACGAAGUCAGCAGAGAGUCUUCUUCCUUUUUGAUCACCAGAUGGUUCUUUGCAAAAAGGACCUCAUAAGGAGAGAUAUCCUGUACUACAAGGGACGGAUUGACAUGGAUCGGUAUGAGGUUUUGGAUAUAGAAGAUGGACGGGAUGAUGACUUCAAUGUGAGCAUGAAGAAUGCCUUCAAACUUCACAAUAAGGAGACUGAGGAAAUGCACUUAUUUUUUGCCAAGAAGCUGGAGGAGAAACUGCGGUGGUUGAGAGCCUUCCGGGAGGAGAGGAAGAUGGUACAUGAAGAUGAGAAAAUAGGCUUUGAAAUUUCUGAAAAUCAAAAACGACAAGCAGCUCUGACAGUAAGGAAAGUCAGUAAGCAGAAAGGUGUCGGCCACUCGCGAUCCGUUCCUCCAGCCUACCCGCCACCCCAGGAUCCACUAAAUCAGGGACAAUACUUGGUGACCGACGGCAUAGCCCAAACGCAGGUCUACGAAUUCACCGAACCCAAACGCAGCCAGUCGCCAUUCUGGCAAAACUUCAGCAGGUUAACGCCAUUCAAAAAAUAAUAUAUAGAGUGAGAUGGAUAAUUUUAAAAAAAAUUUAAAAAACUAUUAAAAAUAAAAACCUAUAUUUAUAGAUGGACCUUUUUUGGAGAAGCACUGUUGCAACUAAACACACACACACACACACACACACAAAACACAUGUGCAUAUGCACAUGUGUACACACACAGCAUUUUCAAGGACCAAAAACAUUUUUCUUGUUCUGGGGGAAACAGUCUCUGCUACCAUAUUAUAGGAAGCACCAAGUAUUUCUAAUCAUGUAACCUACUUUAUUUUGACACCAUUGGACUCAUUGUUGUUACUGUUGUUCUUUUUUAAUAUACAUAUAUAUAUAUAUAUGAUUUGGUUUUUGUCUCAAAAUCGUCUCCUGGGAUGAUUUCGUGUUUGUUGCGCAUCCUGACAUGUUCCACCCAGGGCCAUCCAGAUGUACAUUUUGUUUUGAAUUUUAUUUAUGAAUUAUCUUUUCUUACCAAGAAGAAAGAGCAAACGAACCACUCCUUUUCCACAUCUCAUUCCCAACGCCCACCAUGAAUGCAACCCACCAGGAAGCAGUUCCCGCCUGAGCACCAUUGAUAGGCGAAUGGGACGUCUCAUUCACUUCAAUGGAACGAGUUCUGAGGGUGUGCUGAGGUGACUGCACCACGUACAUUGAAUGUCCAGGCUCCUUUUAGAAAAAGAGCCACGGUGCAUUUUGUUUCUCUACAUUCUUCCAUUUGGGAUCCAUGCUCUGUCGAAAAAAAAAGAAACCAACAUCGUCACACCAUUACUUGCAUCCUAAGUCGAGACUCAAUCGGUCUGACAAGAUCCACUUGUUGGACUGGCAGCUUCUUUCUUGAAGUGGAGAAAACCAAGGGGAAAAGAGCAUUGCCGACUCAGAGCAGAGCGUCCGGCAGACGAGGUGCUGGCUUUACCCCCAAGCCCGGAGGUGUGCUUGCCCCAGCUAUUGGCAUCCAAGGACAUCCUCCUCUUUCCAUAUGUUGUCAAGGUGCUACAAGGCAUGAAGCAUUUCUGCAAAGGAGAACCAGCAAAGGGUUCCAGUUUUACUACCUAGCUGCCAAUGUUUUCGGUGGGGAGGGCUGGAGUCAGGUUGAGCCAUUUUGUAGACUUGAAAGCGUCCAUCUGAUCCGAUGUGGGGAGGGGGAAAUGUUGGAGGGAUGAUGAUGAUGAUGACGACGACGACGACUGAUCAUGUUUCAUAGACUUACAAUUUCUGGACCAGACCAAGAGGAAGCUGCCACCAUUUCAUGUGGUGCCGUGAGGUUUACAGGAAGGAAAGAUGUGAGACACUUGCUGUACCCAAGGUUUCUCUGGCUGAAUCCAAGAAGAGAGCUCUAGAUAUAAUACGUACAGGGAGGAGGUACUUGCCCUGUUUCUUUAGACCAAUGAUAUGCAUUCCCCUCAUCAUCACCACCUUGACUUUACAGAUACAAAGGAUCUCUCUUCAAGAUUAUUGUCUCCCUACCUUCUUUUAACAUUUAAGGAAAAAGCAAAGCAAGAACCAACCUAGGUGCAUCUAACAAUUGUAAAUAGACAAUAAAUAGAGGAAAAAAAACAUAUAUUUGAAAUUUGUUUCAGUUUCUUGGAUGGAACCUAGCCAUCCAUUGCAAUGUUCUUGAUAGUACACUGUGGUGCUUUCAGUUUCUGGUUAUGUUCUCUUUAUGCUCAGUCAUCUUUUCAUUGCAGCUACAUUUCAGGGAACAUGUAAAUUUAGUAGCUAUUGUAAGUUCUGCAUGGCACCACCAAGCUUAUUUUUCCUUGAGAAGACAAGAAGGAUCCUGAUGGAGCAUAACAACCCUCUGAAUGGGGAGGGGCAUGUGCCAGAGAAUGCACACAGGAGUGGGGAAAUGGAUGAAAAUCCUCGUUUGGGGCCAAUUUUGGGGGAGGGGGGCUGUCAUGGUCUGAGCAAGCAGACAAAGGAUGUGGGUAACUCAGCUAAUUCUCACUUUCCAGUUCUCUUAUUUUGUUUCUAUUGAAAUGUUUGACCCUGUCAAACAAAUGUCGGAGCCGUGUGUAUUAAAACAAACAAACAGUGUUUUAAAAAAAAGUGUUGUAAAGACACUGAGCCUUAUGAAAAAUAUU